rnacentral:lncRNA from 1 species
UUUACCUUUACCCUUUAUUUUUCUCAGCUUUCCUGCCUUUCUCUUCCUCCGAAUAAGCCAUUUCCAAAGAAUCCCUAACUCACAGCACCACCUCCACCGAUCCCUACUCCCUAGUUAGCUCAGCUCAGGCCAAAAUGAAAGAAAAUUUUCAUUUGUUAAGUCGCUUCCGAGCUUGAUGUCGAAGCUCAGCUCAGCUCAGGCCAAAAUCGAAGCUCUCUCUCAUUUCUCUUGUUGAAGCUCUCUCUCAUUUCUCUCGGCUCUAGCUUCUUCAUUUGCGGUCUCGGAGCUCCCCACCAGUUGUAACUGUAAGCUUCUUCUUCAUUUACCACAACUUGAAUAUUACUUGUAGGCUGUAGUUUAACUUUUUUUUCUUAUUCUUCUUCAUUUGCGGUCUGUAGCUUUAUUUUUACCUUAUUCUGAUUUUGGUUUUUCUGCUAUUUUGUUUAUAGGUUUUGUGGUUUUUCUUAUUCUAGUUUUUCUGCUAUUGUGUUUAUAGUUUUUGUGGUUUUUCUUAUUCUGGUUUUUCUGCUAUUAUGUUUAUAGUUUUUGUGGUUUUUCUUAUUCUGGUUUUUCUUCUAUUGGGCUUUUCUGCUAUUGUGUUUAUAGUUUUUGUAGGUCUUCUUAUUCUGGUUUUUCUGCUAUUACUGUCUCUAGCUCUCGUAAUUCAUCCAAUAAAUAAUUUCAAAAAAAUUAAAUCGGUAAAAAAUUUGACACUUUUUUUAAUCGAAGUUGAAUAAAUGGAUAUUUAAGUUAAAUUUGGACCCGAGAAAUAGUGGCCUAUGUUUGAAUGCUUCAUGUUCUAUAAUUUCUAAAGUCAACUUUUUCAUUAAUCUUAAUUAAUAAAGUUAGAUUCCAUAUUUAAUUAGGGCCUGAAAAUUAAAUUUAGACUUAAUUCCAAAAAGUAAGCACCAAUAUAAAAUUAUUUAAUUUAAUUGUCAUUAUAAGGUUAUUUUUUUACUAAAUUCAAAGACAAAAAUCAUUACAAGGUUCUUUUUUUACUAAAUUCGAAGACAAAAAUCAUACCUGAUUUGAGCAUAUUUUUAUUAUUUUCUUUGUUAUGAUAAAUCUUAAAAUUGCAUAUAAAUUUAUCAUUAAACAAAGCAAUUGAAUUUGGCAGUGGGAUUUAUCUCGUCUCAACUCUCAAGUUAACAUGUCAGCUUUUAAAAAUUUCAAGAAAUUUUAGUUUGAGUCAUUAUUCUACAAACCUCAGUGAUCGAACUGAUGAAAACACGUGUAUUUUCAAAAGAUUUAUGUUUACUACUUAUGAUGAUGCAUCUCUCAUUUUCACAGCAUGGUUUAUAUGCUCUUUAUUUGUCUUUUAUUAUGUUUUCAAUUUGUGUAGUGUUUUAAGAAUUGUUUUAGUAUCAUUUUUUAUUUGUUUCUUGUUUUAAUAUUUAUUUUUAUGUUUUUAAAUGUAUUUGAUUUAUUACAUUUUAAAAUUUUUUAUUUAAUAAAAAAAGCUAAAAAAAUAUUACAAAUUGCCUUAUUCACUUGCAAAUACCACACUUAAUUAUAUAUAUUUUAUUUACAUGAUUUUUACUCUAAACGUUUGCACGUUUAAAGGCGGUUAUACUCCCCACUAAUGGCAACAUCACAUUAAAUCUUUGAGUCGACGCAUUCCAAUCUUGUGUAAUAGACUUUCAAACGUUAAAGUUGACAAUGCCUUGGUAAAAAGAUCUAUUAAAUUAUCACUAGAACAACUUUGUUGAAAUUCUAUAUCACUAUUUUUUUCUCAAUAUCAUGAGUGAAGAAUAAUUUUGGUGAAAUAUGUUUCGUUCUAUUACCUGUGAUGUAACCAUCCUUCAAUUGAGCUAUAUAUGUUGCAUUGUCUUCAUAUAAGAUAGUUAGCAUCUUUUCUUGUAAAGAAAAUUUACAUAUCUUCUGGAUAUAUUGGGUCAAUAACCUUAGUCAAACACACUCUCCCAAACACACUCUCGACUUGCCUCAUGCAUUGCAAUUAUUUCUACAUGAUUUAAGGAGGUAGCAACUAAUUUAUGCUUUGUUGAACACCAUGAUAUGGCAGUACCUCCACAUAUAAAUAAAUAUCUCGUUUGAGAUCGACCUUUAUGUAACGCCCCAAGUUUUAAUUUAUGUUUUGAUUAAAUAUGACACAAGUGUGUAUCUACUUCAGUGGUUAAGUGUUCUGGGUGUGUGUGUGUGAGGUCCCAAGUUCAAUCCUUAGCUUGGGAAAAUUUUAUAUUUUUAAGACUAAAGCCCGAUCCCUAGUUAAUAGGCUUAUAUUUAUUGUUUGCGAAAACAUAUCAGAAUGGACCUGCUAGUUUGGUGGUUAAGUGGAGUGUUGGAGUGAUGGAGGUCUGGUGUUCAAAUCUCAGUGGAAACGAUGAGUGUAAUAUCUUUUUGCUUCUGGAUGUACUAGGUGUGUGAAAGAGUUUGAGGGGAGGUGAAAUUCGGAUAGUGGGCAGUUGUUGAGAGGACAUUGUGGGGGUAGUGGAUUGGAGGUUAAAUUCAUCUUCUGACAUUUCGUUUUCCCCCAACUCUGCCAAAAUUUUUUCCCCGUUUUGCCGAAAUUUGCCUUUCUCUUUCUUUUCUAUUCUCAAUUUCGUUUCCAACUCGUAUUGGUUGCACAGCGUAGUCACGCAUUCGGUAAGUUUUGGUCUUCAUUUAGCCUUAAAUUGUUCUUUCUCUGAAUAUUGAUUAAGAGGGGUUUUGGUUGGUUUUUAGGUGGUGGUCGAGGGGCUAGAGACCAGCCAUUACAGUAUUAAGAGUGCGAAGUUCUUCAUCUUGAUCAAAGGUGAGGUUUUGAUAGAGUAUCUAUGGUCAGUAUCGUUAUGUUUUUGCUUGAAAGACGAUUUAAGUGACUGAAAUUGGGCUUUGGAUUGUCGAUUUUAGGUACUGGAGUGCUUGGGACUGUUUAGGUAUCAAUAUUGACACAAAUGUGUACUCGAAAACAUAGAAAACGAGAAUCGACGAAAGCUAAAAAAUAAUCCUGUCGACGCCACAUGGGGGUGUGGUUUCCCGUGAGGUAGGCCGUGUGGCAGUACACGGGCAUGUGAUCGAUGAGUAAGGCCAUGCGCUACAGACACAGGCACAUGACACGGCCGUGUAAUGACCGAUGAGGUCAUGUGCGAAACAUGGGCUUGACCUAUACGGCCGUGUAGGACACACGGGCGUAUGAGCUCACACAGGUGUGUGGGAUUUUGGGCCAGGCCGUGUGGAUCCAAUUUGGGCCAUGUGGGCCACAUGGGCGUGUAAGCCCAUUUUUCUGAAAUAAUCUAUAAGGUCACAUGGGUCGCCUGAGUCGACUGUGACCUACCUGGGGUAGGUAAGCAUUACUUAGACCCCUGAUUUUGUGAUCUGGUUAUGUGAUGUACGUAGUAAGCAUGUUACUCUUAGCAUGUGUAUUUGAUCGAUUGUAUGAUCUGUUAAGUUGCAUUAUAGCAUGCCAUAUUGUAUGUUUGCCUUGCAUCGGGCUGGGUUGUUAUUAUUUGGAGGAAGUAUCUGAAAGACUCCUAAGCCUGAUAUCUGGCAGCUCAGCUAUAUUAUCCUGUUUAUGUGUUGCAUUUUGGUACAGUAUGGUGUGUAGGGAUAGGUGAGUUGAUUAUAUCCCCACAUAGUGUGUAGGGCUGGAUGAAGAUGGUGUGUAGAGGCUGGUGGGUAGGAUUCUGAUAUUCUGAUCUGCAUUCUGUAUCUGAGUGGGCUAAGGCCCAUACUGAUUCUGUAAUGGGCUCUGGUCCAAACUGUAUAUACAUGAUUGAUUUUCUGAUAUUAUGCUUUGUGCACGUAUUCUGUGGGAAUUACACACAGAGUUUGCAAAAAUUCACCCCUUUCUGUUUGAUCUGUUCAGGUAAUCCCCAGCAUUAGACGGAUCGGAGCAGUGAAGGACUCGCCAGUAACCACUGCUACUGCUACAUGACAAAUUUACGGUUUCUUCUUAUCAUUGUUUUAAUUUUUAUUUUGGGAAAAUUUUGAUGUAAUAAUGGCCAUUACGGGUUUUAUCACUAUAAAAGCACGACGUUUUCUAGAAAUUAAAGUUUCCUAGAAACGAAUAGUUUUCCUUUUAAAAAUAAAAGUUCACAAGCUUUCGCGUAAAAGAAAUGUUUUAAAUACAAAUCAAUUAGUCCAGGUUUUUCUUGAACUAGGUAAAAGAUAAUAACUGGAACGGUUUUAAGAUCAAUGUGUUUAUAAAAACACUCUCAUGUGACAUCGCUAGAUUCGGCCAUAACGUGCAGGUCAGGUUUAGGGUGUUACACUUUAUGUGGAUCCGAUAAAUACCCAGCAUUAAGAUAGCCAACUAAUAGAGAUUUUAAAUCAUUUGAAUAAAAUAACCUCAUAUUAAUGGUCCCUCUGAGAUAUCUAAUGUAACACCCCAGUUUUCGCAAGGUCGAGGUUUUGGUGGAUAAUUGUAAAAUAAUUUGUUCAGCGAAGUGUUAUCUGUCCAAAAUUUCUCUUCUAACGUAUAGAUUGGGUGUAUAGAAAUCGUUUGGAUUAUUAGUAAAGAUUUAUUUCAGAUUGCUUUGCUAUGAGAAGAGGAAGAUUUUAGAAAAUAAAAAGGGUAAUUAUGAUUUGAGUUAAUGCCAAAGGUAUAUCACGUCCUGUUUGUUUGAGUAUUGUGUUAGUUAAGUUGUUAAGCAAUAUGGUUAGAAAUCAAAUAGAUAGUCUAGUUAGAUAAUUAUUAUAUUGGAUUUUUAUUUAUAUUGUAACACCCCUUAACCCUAAAUCGUCACCAGAACAGGGUUAUGAGGUAUUACCUGACAUAUCAAAUCAAAUACGAAAUUUAAGCAAAUAAUUUAUAUACAUUUCAUAAAUAUAUCAUGUGUAUUAUUCAAAUCAAUUCAAUUGAUUUCAUUUAAUCCAAUUCAAAUACCAUACCAAAAUAACCCAAACAUACCAUUUCAUAAUCUUAACAUUUAAUUUAUAUUGUAUAUAACCAUCCAAGGUUAAUUUAUAAUACCAUUCACAAACAUAUUUCAAAAUGACCUAUACAAUCAACUUAGGUACAUGCCAUUUUACAAAAGAGAAUAUAUAUCACCACUUUGCUGAGUUCAGAAUUGGCUUGGAUGCUGAUCCGGAACUUUUGACUUCAACUUACCUGCGCAUGGAAAUAACCGUACGCUGAGUAUAUACACUCAAUGGUAUUACUAUAAUUCAAACUUUAAUAGAAAAAUAAAUAAAUAAAUAUGCACUAAACUUUCAUUUCUUAACCAUAGAUAUUUCAAAUAACUUUUCUCCAUUUUGAUUCACACAUUAUUUCACCAUAUCAAAAAUCCAUUCCAUGAACCCAUGGUUUAAACAUUUUCUUUUCAUAUCUCAAUUCAAUAUCUCAUUCCAAUUCAUAUACAAAAUCAUACGGUUUAUCAAUUCAUUUAAUACCAAUUUUAAUUUCCAAUUCGUUCAUUUACCCCUAUUAACUUGACUUGGACUUUGAUGGAUACACGUAUCCAACCAAGCACACCAGUAUGGCACCUUGUGCCUCAUCGGCCUUGCCGAAGUGAAUUGGUAUUUAGUACCUCAUCGGAUUUAAUCCGAAGCAAUAAUACGACACAUAGUGCUCAUCGAAAUUAUCCGAAGCAAUAUUACGACACAUAUAGUACCUUAUCGACUCGAGGUCGAAGUAUCCCUAAACGCUUCCAAUCCUAUGACAUGCCAACUAUAUCCGACUUAGCCCGACUAGUUAAUAGGGUUUCCAAUUCACUUUCUUAAUUCAAUUUCAAUCAAAUUCAUACCAGUCACAAAUUCUCAUAUUUCCAAUUCAAUAUCACAAUAACUUAUUUAAUUCAAUUCAAAUCACUUUCAAUUUCCAAUCAAUAUACAUUCAAAUAUUUACAUAAUUCACAAUUCAAUAUCAUUUCUUACCUCAAUUCCACUUACCACACACAUCAAUUAAAGCUCAAAAAUAAAUAAUAACUAAAUUCGAAUUAUAAUAAUACAAACCGUAAUUUCAAAUCACUCCUCGUCGACUUUUCCUUACCUUUCUUGGUCGAUGUCUCUGGCACGAUGUUAGCUACGAAUAUUAAAUAAGUUAAAAUUAUCAAUAAAACAUCAAUUCACAUCAAAUAUUUAAAUUUUCUAUUCAAUUUUUACCUUAAUUUCAAUUUAAUCCCUAACCAAAAAUGAUUUUCAAUUCUAUCACAAUCUAUACCUUAUUUUCACUUAAUUUCUACUUAUAACUUAACUUAACCCUCAAAUUUUCAUCAUAAAACCCUAAAUUUAAAUUUCGUACAAUUUAGUCCCUAUUACACACAACUUAUAACUUAUUCCACAAUUUAAUCAUUUUCCCAAUUCUAAUUUGAAAUUUCUAUAAAUUAAAUCCCUAAUUCAUCAAUUAAUUCAACAUAAACUACAUCCAAAAAUCUACUAACUUUCUAAAUUUCAACAUAUACCUAAUAUUAUUUUGUUCUAGGAUCAUAAAAACUAAAAAAUCACAAAAAAAAGAAUUAAAUUGACUUACCAAAUUAGCUUGGAACCCUAAUUUCCCUUUUUUUUCUCCUUUCUUUUUCUCCCUAUUCUUCUCUGUUUUCGUUUGCUAUUCUGUUUAUGUUUCUUUUCUUUCUUUUGUUUAUUAUAUAUAAUAAUAUAAUAAUAUAAAUUAAUAUAUAUUACUUAUUUAUUAAGUUAUUAUAAUAUAAUAUAUUAUAUUUUAAUAAAAAAAUAUCUUUGAUAUUUCUAUCUUAAACCGCCUCAACAUUUGAAAAUGGCAUUAUUUCCUAUUUGGUCCUUUUAACUUUCUUUAAUCUAUAAUUAAACUUUCACCUCUAUUGCAAUUAAGUCCUUUUUCCUAGUUACUCUUAUUUUAAGCUAAUUUACCUAACCAAAACCUAAUUAAACUCAAAACUAACUUCGUAAAUAUUUUUAAUAAAUAUUUACGAAUCCGUUUUACUAAAAUGAAGACCCGACAACUUACUUUUUCGAUGCCCGUAAAAUUUGGGUCGUUACAUAUAUUUCUCUCAGAAUCUGUAGACCAUAAAGUAGGACAAACUCUGAUUCAAGUGAAACUUGUCGAAUUACAGUAAGUGAGAUAAUGCUAUAUAUAUGUGGUAGAUGUAACAACUCAUUUUCAGAGGUGUCGGAAACAGUGGUUUCAGGACCACAAUUCUGACGAGUAAAUUAUUAUUUUAUUAUUAUUUUAAUGUUUACAUAAUUAUACUUGUAAAUUAUUAUUUUAUUAUUUUAAUGUUUACAUAAUUAUAUUAAGGUCGUAUUAAAAUUUCAUUAAGAAAUUUUGAUGUUUAAAUGGUUAAUUAGGUGAAAAGGACUAAAUCGAAAAAGGGUAAAAGGUGAGUUCUAUUAGUUAAAAGGAUCUAAUAACUUUAAAAUCUUAAAUUAAAGCAGUUGAAUGGUAAAUAUACCAUUUAAUGAGUUAGUGGAUAGUUAUUGACAAGGUUUUAAUGAAAUUUUAAUGAUUUUAAAAGGUUAAUUUAGUAAUUCAGUAAUUAAAAAGAAAAUUAAAUAAGAAAAGAUGUGUAACACCCUAAACCCGCCCUAGAUAUUAUGGCCGAAUCUGAGAAUAUUAUGAAAAAGGGUUUUGAAACCAAUUUUACCGUGUUGAAAUUUCUCGAAUAAUUUGUUACUAAAAGAGAGUCCACAUUUUAUAAAACACGUUAAUUCUAUCCAUUUAUUAAGGAAAAUGUCGAUAGUCUACUACUAUAAUAAAGCUUAUCUUGUAGCAGAAGUUAGAAAUCGUUAUAUUUAAAAUCCGAGCUUGUGUUUUCGAUAAAUUAUUUGUUUGCAUAAAAACUAUUGUUUUCGUAAAUCGUUUUGUUAAAAGUCGCAAAAUAAUAAAAAUCUAAACAAUUUCAAAAUCUCGAAAUUAAAACCAAUAGUUCAGAGAGUCCAUAAAUUACAAAACUCUUAAAAUAAGCCAGAAUUUAAAUAAAAACGUUAAUUAAACCAGUUCGCAAACUAGUGGUCACUGUUGAGACUCUGUCGUACUGUUAAUAAAAUGAAUGCUAAAGCUUGGUCAUGGACUUCGGUAUGGCUAGCAUGAAUAAGGUUGUCUACAUGGUUGUACGGGUGUAGUGUAUGCGCCAAAAGAAUAGUGUUUGUAGUAAAAUCAGUUUGUGUAUAGAAUUCGCCAAUGGGCGAACUGUAUGACUUACUGAGUUGGAAAGGUUUAUUGGUAUUAUAUAUAGCUAUUGAUAUGUUUGCUUUGGAACUAACUAAGUUCUUUGAAUUUUUUUAGUUACCUUUCCUCCUUAGCAUCGCUGACGAAAUAAGAGACUUUUCGAAGACUAU